rfam:Salmo salar isolate Sally breed double haploid chromosome ssa24, whole genome shotgun sequence.
UGAAUGCACUAACUGUAAGUCGCUCUGGAUAAGAGCAUCUGUUAAAUGACUAAAA